rnacentral:rRNA from 1 species
UGGGGAAUAUUGCACAAUGGGCGCAAGCCUGAUGCAGCCAUGCCGCGUGUAUGAAGAAGGCCUUCGGGUUGUAAAGUACUUUCAGUCGGGAGGAAGGUGGUAAGGUUAAUAACCUUAUCAAUUGACGUUACCGACAGAAGAAGCACCGGAUAACUCCGUGCCAGCAGCCGCGGUAAUACGGAGGGUGCAAGCGGUAAUCGGAAUUACUGGGCGUAAAGCGCACGCAGGCGGUUGAUUGAGUCAGAUGUGAAAUCCCCGGGCUUAACCCGGGAAUUGCAUCUGAUACUGGUCAGCUAGAGUCUUGUAGAGGGGGGUAGAAUUCCAGGUGUAGCGGUGAAAUGCGUAGAGAUGUGGAGGAAUACCGGUGGCGAAGGCGGCCCCCUGGACAAAGACUGACGCUCAGGUGCGAAAGCGUGGGGAGCAAACAGG